rnacentral:rRNA from 1 species
AUGGCGUCGACCACCACGAGGCUCGUCUGUGCUCCACUCCUCAUGCUGCUCCUGCUCUCUGUGUCCACGGCCAACUCAGUCCAAGAGACCGGCAGCUCACUCAAAAGCUCCACCCAGAAGAAUGUGUUCGUCGUCGACAACUACGGCGCCCGUGGUGACGGAAAGCACGACGACACGCAGGCGCUGGCCAGGGCGUGGAACGCGGCGUGUUCCUCGUCCCGGCCGGCCGUGCUGCUCGUCCCCAAGGGCAAGACCUACCUGCUCAAGUCCAUCACCCUCUCUGGCCCGUGCAGAUCCAGCAUCGUCUUCAAGGUGAAGGGCACGCUCAUCGCUCCUCCGAGCAUGUCGGCGUGGACCGACAACGAUAGGAGGCGCUGGAUCUUCCUCCAGCGCAUCACCGGCCUCACCGUCAAUGGUGGCGGCACCAUCAGCGGCAACGGUGAGAUCUGGUGGAACAACUCGUGCAAGACCAACAAGGCUCUGCCGUGCAAGGGGGCUCCCACGGCCCUCACGUUUCACCUCUGCAACAAUCUAAAGGUGGAGAACCUGAAACUUGUAAACAGCCAGCAAAUCCAUGUGUCGGUUCAGGACUGCAGCAACGUGCACUUGGCCCGGCUGACCAUCACCGCGCCUGGCACGAGCCCAAACACCGACGGCAUCCACAUCACCCACAGCAAAUAUGUGCAGGUCAGAGAUUGUCUCAUCAAGACCGGAGAUGACUGCAUAUCCAUCGAGAAUGGAACUCACGAUCUUCAUGUCACAAAAGUUGUUUGUGGCCCGGGACAUGGCAUCAGCAUUGGAAGCUUAGGAGAUGAUAACUCCAGAGCUGAGGUAUCCCGUAUUUACAUUGAUACUGUACGAUUAUAUGGCACGUCCAAUGGAGCCCGGAUCAAGACAUGGCAGGGAGGGAGUGGAUAUGCUAAGGAUAUCGUAUUCCAGAAUAUGAUCAUGGAUAAUGUGCAAAAUCCAAUUAUCAUUGACCAAAACUAUUGUGACUCCGCCAAGCCAUGCAAGGGCCAGAACUCAGCGGUAGAGGUACGGAAUGUGGUGUUCAAGAAUAUUCAAGGGACCACCAUUUCCAAGGAUGCCAUCAAGCUGAGUUGUAGCAAGAAUCUCCCGUGUUCUGGCAUUGCCUUAGAGAACAUCGACCUUAAAUUGGAGGGUGGGAAGGGUGACACCGAGAGUACCUGCCAGAACGCAAAAUGGAGGAAGUCAGGAAAUGUUAUUCCUCUACCAUGUAAAGGAAAAAUUAAGUUGUAG